rnacentral:rRNA from 1 species
UGGGGAAUAUUGCACAAUGGGCGCAAGCCUGAUGCAGCCAUGCCGCGUGUAUGAAGAAGGCCUUCGGGUUGUAAAGUACUUUCAGCGGGGAGGAAGGUGUUGAGGCUAAUAACCUCAGCAAUUGACGUUACCCGCAGAAGAAGCACCGGCUAACUCCGUGCCAGCAGCCGCGGUAAUACGGAGGGUGCAAGCGUUAAUCGGAAUUACUGGGCGUAAAGCGCACGCAGGCGGUCUGUCAAGUCGGAUGUGAAAUCCCCGGGAUCAACCUGGGAACUGCAUUCGAAACUGGCAGGCUAGAGUCUUGUAGAGGGGGGUAGAAUUCCAGGUGUAGCGGUGAAAUGCGUAGAGAUCUGGAGGAAUACCGGUGGCGAAGGCGGCCCCCUGGACAAAGACUGACGCUCAGGUGCGAAAGCGUGGGGAGCAAACA